rnacentral:rRNA from 1 species
GAUGAGCGCUGGCGGCGUGCCUAAUACAUGCAAGUCGAGCGAACAGACGAGGAGCUUGCUCCUCUGACGUUAGCGGCGGACGGGUGAGUAACACGUGGAUAACCUACCUAUAGGACUGGGAUAACUUCGGGAAACCGGAGCUAAUACCGGAUAACAUGUUGAACCGCAUGGUUCAACAGUGAAAGACGGUUUUGCUGUCACUUAUAGAUGGAUCCGCGCCGCAUUAGCUAGUUGGUAAGGUAACGGCUUACCAAGGCAACGAUGCGUAGCCGACCUGAGAGGGUGAUCGGCCACACUGGAACUGAGACACGGUCCAGACUCCUACGGGAGGCAGCAGUAGGGAAUCUUCCGCAAUGGGCGAAAGCCUGACGGAGCAACGCCGCGUGAGUGAAGAAGGUCUUCGGAUCGUAAAACUCUGUUAUUAGGGAAGAACAAAUGUGUAAGUAACUAUGCACGUCUUGACGGUACCUAAUCAGAAAGCCACGGCUAACUACGUG